GAUGAACGCUGGCGGCGUGCCUAAUACAUGCAAGUCGAGCGAACAGAUAAGGAGCUUGCUCCUUUGACGUUAGCGGCGGACGGGUGAGUAACACGUGGAUAACCUACCUAUAAGACUGGGAUAACUUCGGGAAACCGGAGCUAAUACCGGAUAACAUAUUGAACCGCAUGGUUCAAUAGUGAAAGGCGGCUUUGCUGUCACUUAUAGAUGGAUCCGCGCCGUAUUAGCUAGUUGGUAAGGUAACGGCUUACCAAGGCAACGAUACGUAGCCGACGUGAGAGGGUGAUCGGCCACACUGGAACUUAGACACGGUCCAGACUCCUACGGGAGGCAGCAGUAGGGAAUCUUCCGCAAUGGGCGAGAGCCUGACGGAGCAACGCCGCGUGAGUGAUGAAGGUCUUCGGAUCGUAAAACUCUGUUAUCAGGGAAGAACAAAUGUGUAAGUAACUGUGCACAUCUUGACGGUACCUGAUCAGAAAGCCACGGCUAACUACGUG
rnacentral:rRNA from 1 species